rnacentral:rRNA from 1 species
CCUACGGGAGGCAGCAGUGGGGAAUUGUUCGCAAUGGGCGCAAGCCUGACGACGCAACGCCGCGUGGAGGAUGAAGACCUUCGGGUCGUAAACUCCUUUCGAUCGAGACGAAUGUUUUCCGGGUGAACAAUCCGGAAAAGUGACGGUACCGAGAGAAGAAGCCCCGGCUAACUCUGUGCCAGCAGCCGCGGUAAUACAGGGGGGGCAAGCGUUGUUCGGAAUUACUGGGCGUAAAGGGCUUGUAGGUGGCCAGCUAAGUCAGACGUGAAAUCCCUCAGCUUAACUGGGGAACUGCGUCUGAUACUGGAUGGCUUGAGUUUGGGAGAGGGAUGCGGAAUUCCAGGUGUAGCGGUGAAAUGCGUAGAUAUCUGGAGGAACACCGGCGGCGAAGGCGGCAUCCUGGACCAACACUGACACUGAGGAGCGAAAGCCAGGGGAGCAAACGGGGAUUAGAUACCCCCGGUAGUCCUGGCCCUAAACGAUGAAUGNUGUGUGGNGGUAGUCGAUCCUCGCCGUCGCCGACGCUACGCAUAAGCAUCCGCCGUCGGGUAGGUACGGUCGCGAGGCGUGAACGACAAUAGAGUUAGUACGGCGUGAGACGUGACCGACGGACGACGACGAGGGAGGAGGG